UUUCCGUAGGUGAACCUGCGGAAGGAUCAUUAAUAAACUAGUCGUUCGUGUAGGGGCAACCUGAUCAUCACGAUGUAAGCUCACUAGUCACCCUUGAAUAUCAUACCUUUGUUGCUUUGGCGGGCCGCCCUCGUGGCCAGCGGCUCCGGCUGCUGCGUGCCCGCCAGAGGACCCCAACUCUUGUUUUUAGUGAUGUCUGAGUACUAUAUAAUAGUUAAAACUUUCAACAACGGAUCUCUUGGUUCUGGCAUCGAUGAAGAACGCAGCGAAAUGCGAUAAGUAAUGUGAAUUGCAGAAUUCAGUGAAUCAUCGAAUCUUUGAACGCACAUUGCGCCCUUUGGUAUUCCGAAGGGCAUGCCUGUUCGAGCGUCAUUAUAACCACUCAAGCCUUCGCUUGGUAUUGGGGUUCGCGGUCUCGCGGCCCCUAAAAUCAGUGGCGGUGCCUGUCGGCUCUACGCGUAGUAAUACUCCUCGCGAUUGAGUCCGGUGGGUAGCUUGCCAACAACCCCCAAAUUUUUACAGGUUGACCUCGGAUCAGGUAGGGAUACCCGCUGAACUUAA
rnacentral:rRNA from 1 species